GACGAACGCUGGCGGCGUGCUUAACACAUGCAAGUCGAACGAUGAAGACCAGCUUGCUGGUUGGAUUAGUGGCGAACGGGUGAGUAACACGUGAGUAACCUGCCCUUCACUCUGGGAUAACUCCGGGAAACCGGGGCUAAUACUGGGUAUGACCAAUCUCCGCAUGGAGUGUUGGUGGAAAGCUUUAGUGGUGAAGGAUGGACUCGCGGCCUAUCAGCUUGUUGGUGAGGUAAUGGCUCACCAAGGCGACGACGGGUAGCCGGCCUGAGAGGGCGACCGGCCACACUGGGACUGAGACACGGCCCAGACUCCUGCGGGAGGCAGCAGUGGGGAAUAUUGCACAAUGGGCGAAAGCCUGAUGCAGCGACGCCGCGUGAGGGAUGAAGGCCUUCGGGUUGUAAACCUCUUUCAUCAGGGAAGAAGCGAAAGUGACGGUACCUGAAAAAGAAGCACCGGCUAACUACGUGCCAGCAGCCGCGGUAAUACGUAGGGUGCGAGCGU
rnacentral:rRNA from 1 species